rnacentral:tRNA from 1 species
GGGGCUGUAGCUCAGUGGCAGAGCGCCCUUUCCCACCUGUGAGGCACUGGGUUCGAUCCUCAGCACCACA